rnacentral:rRNA from 4 species
UUAUCGGAGAGUUUGAUCCUGGCUCAGGACGAACGCUGGCGGCGUGCCUAAUACAUGCAAGUCGAG